rnacentral:rRNA from 1 species
GACGAACGCUGGCGGCGUGCUUAACACAUGCAAGUCGAACGGAAAGGCCCUGCUCUUGCGCGGUGCUCGAGUGGCGAACGGGUGAGUAACACGUGAGUAACCUGCCCUUGACUUUGGGAUAACUUCAGGAAACUGGGGCUAAUACCGGAUAGGAGCUCCUGCUGCACGGUGGGGGAUGGAAAGUUUCGGCGGUUGGGGAUGGACUCGCGGCUUAUCCGCUUGUUGGUGGGGUAGUGGCUUACCAAGGCUUUGACGGGUAGCCGGCCUGAGAGGGUGAACGGCGACCUUGGGACUGCGAGACGGCCCAGAAUCCUACGGGAGGCAGCAGGGGGGAGUAUUGCGCAAUGGGCGGGAGCCUGAUGCAGCAACGCCGCGUGCGGGAAGCCGGCUUUCGGGUUGUAAACCGAUGUCGAAGGUGACGAAGCGUGAGUGACGGGAAUGGGUAAAGAAGCACCGGCUAACUACGU